GUCCAAUCUUUUAUCUUUAUCUGUAUCCGGAUAUCUUUCGGAAUCCAAUCUGAAUAUUACGUUCACUACUACGGUCACAAUCCAGUAUGAUGUUGUUUGUAGAAUAAAAGUGUCAAUCCAAAUGCUAUGAAUAUUAAUGUCUAUCGAUGUCUAAGUCUAAGUCCAAGAGUGUGUCUUUAACUUUAGUGUCUGUAUAUAUAUAGUUGUCAUGGAAGAUUCUAGAACAGUCUAUAAUGGAACAUCCUAGAAAGUUACAACAGAAGUUUCUAGUAAAAUGUAGAAGUUUA
rnacentral:lncRNA from 1 species